CCCCGCGGCCCGCAGCGCGGCAGAGGCGGGAAAGCAGCGCGCCUGCGCCGUGGGAACCGGGGCCGGAGGCGAAAAGCGGGGAGCGGAGGGGGCCGUUGGAGCCGAGUAGCGUACAGAGCGGCGUGUGACGCGGGGACGCCGCGCGCUCCCAACGUCGCCCCGGUUUGACGCACACGGCACCAAACUGUCUGUCUGAUUCCCUGGCCUUUGUGUCCCUGGGAGCUUUAUCUCUGCCAGAGGAAAAGCAGGUGUGCUCCACUUCUCCCGGGAACCUGAAGAUGAGUUGUCCCAGACCCUUCUCAGUGAUUGGAGACUUAGGUGGUGGAGCUAAAGGUUUCUCGUUACGAGACUUCCACAGACGACUUUCGUGUUGGGAUCCAUCCAUGGUUUAGCGACAUUAGUGGAAAACUUUUCUUGAACUGCCUGAGUAAUUAAUACUGACAUAAACUUAGUCGUCAUAAAACUUUCAUGUUUAGACUUUCAGAUGUUUUUGUUUUUGUUUUGUUGUUGGGUCAUUGAGAAGUAUUCCACAAGGGGGUAAACGCAAUGGGGGCCUAAAUGAUGGUCCUGUUUUGUAUACAAGUCAAUAAUUACAACAGAAAAAUACCAAAACACCGUCAUCAUCUCUUCUGGCCGGUUCUGACUAAUGCCAGGCUUGUUGCAUCUGGAUGAUAGAUUAGAUUUGCCUUAAUAGUAUAUUGCUUCUCUGCAGUAGUUUAGUCACAUUUCUUUGGUCCAAGAAGAAGGAAAGCGUUUUCAAAAAAAAUAAGACAACUCCAGUUACUCAAAGCAAGGAAACCUGCUGUUUGUCUUCAGUGUCAUGUGUAAGUAUCCAGGAAAUGUGAUGGCAGUAGUCACGCCUUGGUAGCUUUGGUGAGGAAAAAAAUUAGUUUUUAUGAGGUGGUUAUAAUUUACUUUAGACACCAUAAUAGACGAAACAUGAAGGCUCGAUCACUGUUGGUGCAGUGGAAACUUUAGAAUUCUAACAUAACUUGAAGGGACCCUGCACUUAGGGCUGCACCAUACUUUGUAUAUGGUGUGAACUAAUAUUUGAAGUACAGCAAUUGGAAACAACUACUGUUUUGACCAGGUCACAUUAACAGAGUAAAUUAUGUGAUUGAAGGGAUAAACACAUUUAGAUCGUUGACUUUAGAUGUCUGUCCAAAUUAAAAUUUGGGUUUUUUAAUAUGACUUAAAGCUUUCAUUUUCCUCGCUUCUUUCAGUCGUAUGUUUUCCACACCCCCCCCCCCCCCCCCCCCGCUUAGCUUUCCUUCUUCUAAUAGAAGAAUAGAACAAUCUUAACUGUAUUAAAAGAAUAGGAGAUGCAUUGACAUGGGCAAAAUGUAUUACUGAGUCAUGCAGUUUUAGAGUGGAAGGAAUCUCGGAGCAGCUAGUUAUAUCCACUGUUUAAGAUCUAUUUAGGGCCAGAUAUGAUUGAGUUCAUGGAUAAUGGAAAAUUGUCUUUUCAGUUUCUACCCCCUUGCUCCUUUCAUUGGUCACAUUGCUGGGAUGAGAAGAUGACUCUCUGUAACUAAUAAUGGUAAAAAAAUAAAAUGUGAGAGUGUUUGAAAGUAUCUGUGAGA
rnacentral:lncRNA from 1 species